rnacentral:ncRNA from 1 species
CGAAAGUUUUAUUCUUGCUUGAUUAACUAACGUCAAUUGUUAUUUACAUGCAAAUUUUAGUGUUGGAAAAGCGAUAGUUGGGUAAUUUAAAUUAAAAAGGUUCUUAAAGAACGUAUUUUGUAGAUUGCAGUAGUUAGUUUUGGUGGAAUUAGAUGACUCUAGAUUCAGGAUAAUUGUUAGUGUUGGCUAAAGUCGUGCCAGCUGCCGCGGUUAUACGAAGAAUACAAGUUAGUGGUUUAUUGAUGAGUAGUUAAAUGAAAGGUCAAAGAUUAUAAAAGUUUAAGUUGAUUUUAUUAGGUGAAAUUUUAAUUCAGCAAUAAUUUUAGAAAUAAUAAUUGAGGCUAUGAAAUUCAUAAAUAUAAAAAACUAGGAUUAGAUACCCUAUUAUUAUGAAUGUGAAGUCAUUAAAAUAUCAGAAUAGUAUUAGUUAGGUUCUUGAAAUUCAAAGAAUUUGGCGGUAUUUCAGUCCUUUCAGAGGAACCUGCCCCCUAAUCGAUAUUCCACGUUAUAUCUUACUUAAUUUUGUUUAACAGCUUGUAUACCGCCGUCGUCAGAAUGUCCUUUUAGGGUAAUAAUUUUCUUUUAUUAUAAAUUAAUUAGAUGUCAGGUCAAGGUGCAGCUUAUGGUUAAGUGGAGGUGGGUUACAAUAAAAAUAUUUAAAUGGAAAAUGAUUUGAAAGGAUAAAAAGGAAAGUUGUUGGAAGGUGGAUUUGAUUGUAAUUAUUUAGAUUAAGAUAUAUUGAUUCUUUGGCUCUGAGAUAUGCACACAUCGCCCGUCGCUCUCGCUAUUAAGGUGAGAUAAGUCGUAACAUAGUAGAUAUACCGGAAGGUGUAUCUAGAAAGAUUUAU